CAAUUAAUAUCUUAAUUAAAGAAAUGAUUUUUUAAAUCAUUAAUGAUAAAUUUAAAUUAUCUUAAUUGA
rnacentral:tRNA from 2 species